rnacentral:rRNA from 1 species
AUUGAACGCUGGCGGCAGGCCUAACACAUGCAAGUCGAACGAGUGGCGGACGGGUGAGUAAUGUCUGGGAAACUGCCUGAUGGAGGGGGAUAACUACUGGAAACGGUAGCUAAUACCGCAUAGCAUCGGAUGUGCACAGAUGGGAUUAGAUUGUCGGUGGGGUAACGGAUAACCAAGGCGACGAUCCCUAGCUGGUCUGAGAGGCUGACCAGCCACACUGGAACUGAGACACGGUCCAGACGCCUACGGGAGGCAGCAGGAGGGAAUAUUGCACAAUGGGCGCCAGCCUGAUACAGCCAUGCCGCGUGGAUGAAGAAGGCCUUCGGGUUGUAAAGUACUUUCAGCGUGGAGGCGUUACCCGCAGAAGAAGCACUGGCUAACUCCGUGCCAGCAGCCGCGGUAAUAC